UACGGAGGGGGCAAGCGUUGUUCGGAGUUACUGGGCGUAAAGCGCGCGUAGGCGGUGCGGUAAGUCAGGGGUUAAAGGCUGCAGCUCAACUGCAGUAAGGCCUUUGAUACUAUCGCGCUAGAGUACCAGAGAGGAUGGCGGAAUUCCCGGUGUAGCGGUGAAAUGCGUAGAUAUCGGGAGGAAUACCAGUGGCGAAGGCGGCCACCUGGGCCAAGACUGACGCUGAGGUGCGAAAGCGUGGGGAGCAAACAGG
rnacentral:rRNA from 1 species